UACGUAGGGUGCGAGCGUUGUCCGGAUUUAUUGGGCGUAAAGGGCGCGUAGGCGGUUUCUUAAGUUUGGAGUGACAGUGGGUGGCUUAACUACCCAAGGCCUCUGAAAACUGGGGAACUUGAGGACCAGAGAGGGACAUAGAAUUCCGGGUGGAGUGGUGAAAUGCGUAGAUAUCCGGAGGAAUACCAAAGGCGAAGGCAGUGUCCUGGAGGGUGACUGACGCUGAGGCGCGAAAGCUAGGGGAGCGAACAGG
rnacentral:rRNA from 1 species